rnacentral:tRNA from 2 species
GGAUCCGUAGCUCAAUUGGUAAGAGCAACUGGCUCAUAACCAGAAGGUUGUCGGUUCAAGCCCGGCCGGGUCCA